AAUAACGCCCAAAUCAUUAACAUGGACGGUGGA
rnacentral:rRNA from 1 species